CCUACGGGAGGCAGCAGUAGGGAAUAUUGCUCAAUGGGGGAAACCCUGAAGCAGCAACGCCGCGUGGAGGAUGAAGGUUUUAUGAUUGUAAACUCCUUUUGUUAGAGAAGAUUAUGACGGUAUCUAACGAAUAAGCACCGGCUAACUCCGUGCCAGCAGCCGCGGUAAUACGGAGGGUGCAAGCGUUCCUCGGAAUCACUGGGCGGAAAGAGUGCGUAGGCGGGGUAAUAAGUCAGAUGUGAAAUCCUGUAGCUUAACUACAGAACUGCAUUUGAAACUGUUACUCUGGAGUGUGGGAGAGGUAGGUGGAAUUCUUGGUGUAGGGGGAAAAUCCGUAGAGAUCAAGAGGAAUACUCAUUGCGAAGGCGACCUGCUGGAACAUUACUGACGCUGAUGCACGAAAGCGUGGGGAGCAAACAGGAUUAGAUACCCCUGUAGUC
rnacentral:rRNA from 1 species